ACAGCGUUGUGAACCACCCUGAUACACACCGUGUGUAUAGGGCUGGAAAAAUAUGUUGAGUAGACUGUGUGAAGUCACCUCACAUACACACCUAGCGAAUUACGUUAUCUAUAUGGGUCACCUGCAGCUGAUCCUGCUGCAGUGGCUAGCGCGGGUCAGUUUCUUACUGUCUAUGAGAGGCACCAAUGGGGUAUAUAACGUGAUUGCAUUAGUAAAUCUAUAUAAAAAACACUAUUCUAUCCUACUGAGCACCCCGUAGUUUUCCCGCAAAAAUGUCAAGAAAACCAAGGCACCAGUAAACCUAGUUUAGUUGCCGAUACUACACCUGGACAUUGGAUCGAUGCCACGGAGGAACUCUAACUGACCACAUGAGAAAGUCUUCGUCGCCUUGUCAAUCAUGCUAAACGUGGUGUAGCAAACGCAACGAUAAAACUGGUCGAUUAAAAUGGAUAGCCACGUC